rnacentral:lncRNA from 1 species
AUAUAUUUAUACUUGUGGCUUAUAGGUUGGAGUAAUGAGACAAUAUUACAUACGUCUUAUUUCAUUUAGCUAAGUUAGGCCUCUGUUAUUAGUUUAUUGCAGUCGAAACUCUGUCUCGUGACUGCCAGACUGCCAUAGUGUCGUUAGAAAUAAAGCUUUGCCUCUCCUUGUAAUGCUUCCAGGAUACAUAUGUCUACUGUUCAGACAUCAUGACGAUAGAAAACAUUAGUAUCACUGGACGUAAGAUGAACUCAAAUCCAUAAUACCCCACCUCCAGAAAAAUCUACAACUCACGAUACAUAGUUUUGCCUAUCUCCAAGCCACAAACAGAAAAACAGUAUGAAGAGUAUACAUAAACAUCAGAGAAACAUUGUCGAAUUAGGACUUACCUUUAGUCUGUACUCUGUAACAACUGUCGAAUUUUGAUAAAGGUUUUUACACCUUCUGUAGGUAACAAAGCCUCUUUCAAAUGUGUGAUGCUAUCUUUGACAGAAAAUGCAUAAGAUUUUCUCCGUUAACAAUGGUAUUAGAAAUCUAGAAAGAUAAGAUUGACAUCUUAUUCCCCCUUUUAUCAUCGUUGCAGAAGGAAAUCUCCCAUAUAAAACCCUCGAUAACCUGCAACAUGACAGGUAUGUAUAUUUAGGGCAAUAGCAAAACAAUAUAAACUAAGGGUCUGAUCGGUAAUGGCUGUAGCUUUAAAAUUUUUGCUGUAGAAAAAAAUCUGUAGAUUUUUUGCUGUGGCUUUAAAUUUUAUUGAUGUAGAAUUUUAUGAAAGCACUAAAAAAUUGCUUUGGAUAUUUGGCUCUGCAGAGCACUUGUACAGCUGUAGGUUAUUUCUAGAGCUGUGGUUUCAAAAAAAAAAUUAAAGCUUGAUUGCUCUGAAUUUGGUGCUUUAAAAAUAAAUACGGUUGUGGACAGCACCUACAGCAACUACCAAUCACCCCUAAGAGUCAAAUACAUAAGCUGGUCUGGUGUGGGAGACACACUCGAUAACCUGCAACAUGACACUCGAUAAACCAAACUACCAAACUGAGUGGCUACCUGAGUUGUAUAUGAUCGUGAGAAACUAAUUCUGGAGUGGAAAGAUUCUAAUUGGGAGCUCCUUAUCAACUCUUCUUCCAAAAUAUGAUUCUGGACUCAGCUGAAACCAAGGUAGUUCUUUCAAAACUACCACGAUUCCCAAGUGUUUUAAGGGAUGAAAUUUUCAUUCAACCACUGGUUUUAGCAGUUUUAGGAGCUUUUGUGGUGUUGUGUUCC